rnacentral:rRNA from 1 species
UACGUAGGGUGCGAGCGUUAAUCGGAAUUACUGGGCGUAAAGGGUGCGCAGGCGGUCCCGUAAGCUGGGUGUGAAAGCCCCGGGCUUAACCUGGGAAUGGCAUUCAGGACUGCGAGGCUUUGAGUGCGGCAGAGGGAGGUGGAAUUCCACGUGUAGCAGUGAAAUGCGUAGAGAUGUGGAGGAACACCGAUGGCGAAGGCAGCCUCCUGGGCCAGCACUGACGCUCAUGCACGAAAGCGUGGGGAGCAAACAGG